rnacentral:miRNA from 1 species
CACACACGCUCUCGCGCUCU